rnacentral:rRNA from 1 species
GACGAACGCUGGCGGCGUGCUUAACACAUGCAAGUCGAACGGUGAAGCUCCAGCUUGCUGGAGUGGAUCAGUGGCGAACGGGUGAGUAACACGUGAGCAACCUGCCCCUGACUCUGGAAUAAGCGCUGGAAACGGCGUCUAAUACUGGAUACGAGAAGGGUCCGCAUGGGCACUUUCUGGAAAGUUUUUCGGUUGGGGAUGGGCUCGCGGCCUAUCAGCUUGUUGGUGAGGUAAUGGCUCACCAAGGCGACGACGGGUAGCCGGCCUGAGAGGGCGACCGGCAACACGGGGACGGAGAAAGGGCCCAAACCCCUACGGGGGGCAACGGGGGGGAAUAUUGCCAAAGGGGCGAAAGCUGGAUGCAGCGACGCCGGGGGGGGGAGGACGGCCUUCGGGUGGUAAACCCCUUUCAGGAGGGAAGAAGGGAAAGGGACGGUACCGGAAAAAGAAGCACCGGCAAACUACGG